rnacentral:lncRNA from 1 species
GCCUGCCCUCCAUGACUCUCAACCUUGAAUAGGAAUGGGGGAGUCAGAAGAAAUCCAAAGCAGUUCUAGGAAAUUGAGUGCCACAUUCUUUUCUGCACGCCUGAGGUAUAAAAUGAUGUGAUCAGACUACCAGAGCUCAAGAAGUCCCCAGUGAUCAAGGCUGAGCAGGAGGAAUGAGCAGAAGCUCACAGAAUUGGCGUGUAUCUCUAGCUUGAUGAAGCAGUCAUUUAAUACAGGGCAUUUCAUGUGAUCUCAGAAAGGAGAGCAGAGUCCCGGUCCCCUAAGAGCAAGCUCUCCCCCUCCUCCACUACUGUGCCCUCCGGCUUCAGAGAGGUGGGUAGGAAGCAGUACCCAAUCCAGAAAUUGUAACUCUGGGGGGAAGAAGGAAAAAACUGGUUCCAGAUAAGGUGAAAUGUGUAUCAAGGAAAAUUCACCCUUAAUGUAUCAAAAAUAGAAAGUUUGGAAGGAUAUUCCAUAUUAAGUAUGAACAAGAUGAAAAGAAAUAGCUUGGCAACUAUCCAGCCUUCCUCCCCGUCCAACAUACAUGAGUAAACAAGAG